UGGGGUAAAAUUUAUCCCAUAGUAAAAUUCAAAGAACUUUAAUUUUUUUUUUAACUGCCUAACUUUAACUGGCUUCUGUUCACAUGCGCGAUUCUAUGUACAUAAUAUUGCAAUCUAAAAAAUGUACAGUGAAUGAUAAAAUGCACUCUUUAAUUUUGGCAUGAAAUUAAUAAUAAAUAUUUAUUAUUCAGCUAUAAUUUUAUUUUUAAUAACAAUUUAAAUACAUUACAAUGGAUUUCAGAAAUCGUGGUAGAUCAAUCAAAAUAACCAAAAUACGAAAACGUAAUGCUAUUGUUGGAGCUGGCUUGUUUUUAGCUUUUGGAAUUCAAAUUUAUCUUACAAUACUAUCGCCUAUGAUAGAUCCUACACCUUACAAGGAAAUAAGAGAAAAGGCUAAGCUUUAUACGUUACCGGAUAAAAAAGCUCAAAACUAAAUUUCUCAUAAUGUAGAAAUAAUUUUAUCAAAAAUAAAUAAUCGCAUAAAGAUAAAUAAUUAUUCAUAACAAGAGAAUAUCAUUCAUUUAUAUUAAAUAUAUUUUAUUUAUGUUAUUUUUCCUUAUAUACUAAUAUUCAUCAUCAUCACAAACAUCAAGAAAAACAUCAAAUGCUUCUCGGUUACAAUUACCUUCGGAUGUAAAUACGUAUUUAUGAAAUGUACCAUCUACACAGACAGCUGAAAUUUGAAUAAAAUUAUUAUAAUUAAUUAUUUAACCUGAA